rnacentral:rRNA from 1 species
GAUGAACGCUGGCGGCGUGCCUAAUACAUGCAAGUCGAGCGAACAGAUACGGAGCUUGCUCCUUUGACGUUAGCGGCGGACGGGUGAGGAACAUGUGGGUAACCUACCUAUAAGACUGGGAUAACUUAGGGAAACCGGAGCUAAUACCGGAUAACAUUUGGAACCGCAUGGUUCUAAAGUGAAAGAUGGUUUUGCUAUCACUUAUAGAUGGACCCGCGCCGGUUUAGCUAGUUGGUAAGGUAACGGCUUACCAAGGCGAGGAUGCGUAGCCAACCUGAGAGGGUGUUGCGCGCCACGGGAGCUGAGCCGCGGCCCUGGCUCCUACAGGCGGCCGCAGCUCGUACUGUUCCGAGAUGGGCGAAAUCUUGCCCGAUCGGCGCCAGCUGAAUGAUGAAAGGUUUCGUGUGGUAUAACUCCCUUCUUAUUGAAAACCACAUUUGUAAGUGACGGUGCACUUCGUGACGGUACCUAAUCAGAAAGCCACGGCUAACUACGUG